rnacentral:rRNA from 1 species
UUGGUGAGGUAAUGGCUCACCAAGGCUUCGACGGGUAGCCGGCCUGAGAGGGCGACCGGCCACACUGGGACUGAGAUACGGCCCAGACUCCUACGGGAGGCAGCAGUGGGGAAUAUUGCACAAUGGGCGGAAGCCUGAUGCAGCAACGCCGCGUGCGGGAUGACGGCCUUCGGGUUGUAAACCGCUUUCAGUGGGGACGAAGCUAACGUGACGGUACCUACAGAAGAAGCACCGGCCAACUACGUGCCAGCAGCCGCGGUGAUACGUAGGGUGCGAGCGUUGUCCGGAAUUAUUGGGCGUAAAGGGAUUGUAGGCGGUUCGUCGCGUCGAUGGUGAAAACUCAGGGCUCAACCCUGAGCCUGCUUUCGAUACGGGCGGACUAGAGGUAUGCAGGGGAGAACGGAACUCCUGGUGGAGCGGUGGAAUGCGCAGAUAUCAGGAGGAACACCGGUGGCGAAGGCGGUUCUCUGGGCAUUACCUGACGCUGAGAAUCGAAAGCGUGGGGAGCAAACAGGCUUAGAUACCCUGGUAGUCCACGCCGUAAACGGUGGGCACUAGGUGUGGGGGACAUCCCACGUUCUCCGUGCCGAAGCUAACGCAUUAAGUGCCCCGCCUGGCGAGUACGG